rnacentral:lncRNA from 1 species
GCCGGGGGGCUGCUGGGGAGACCCCCCCCAAGCCAAGGACCUCACGUUACGCUGCGGGCAUGGUGCUGCUCUCUGGGUGUUCCGAACUGCAGCUGCAUCUGAGGAGCCAGGUGGAGGGUGGAGCUGGUGCAUCUAGAAGAUUGGGAUGGAAACAGAAAAAAAGAAAAAAAAAAAAAAAAAAAAAAAAAAAAAAAAAGAAAAAAAAAAAGGAAAAAACCCCACAAACAAAGCAAAUGUGUAGAUAGAGAAUUUUUUUAAGAACUGCAGCUACACAGAUGUGUGGAUAUGGAGUGGGCACCCUGCCCAGCUGCCCUGUCCUCUCCCUGUGGCACUCUGCCUCCUGUCAGUGAGGCCCCAUAGCCAUGGAGGGCAGUGCCUGCAUCCCGGCUGAGUCCCCUCCCUGGCAGCCCUGUCCCUUGCAUCAGCCCAGUGAUCUGGGGGCUUUUCCAACACCUGGGAGAGGAGGGAGGCCUGGCAUGGCAGAGCCUUGUGAUCUAUGGCAAGCCAUGGCUUGCAGUGGGCUGUGUGACUGUCCUCCAGUCCUGGUGAGGCCAGAUAAGGUUUCCCAUCCCCUCCUCUAGCAGCCCUGGUCUCUCUCCCUUCAGGGUGCUGGAGCCCAAAGUACCCCAGAUAAUGUCCCCAGCUCUGUGGCCCCAGCCUGACCCUCUGGUGACACCCCUGGUCUUUACAUGCUGGAUGGCUCUGCAGUGCAUGGGCACCCACUGUGGUCACAUCAGGGCCACACUGCUUGAGCAGGACCAGGGCACUGCCAGGCACACUGAAUGGGGGACAGCACUGUGCCAUUCCUGUGGAGAGGGCCCCACAUACCCCUGGCUCAGCCAGGUAGCUCUGCUCAGAGGUGGGAGCUGUGAGGGCAGCACAGGAAUCCCUUUUUUCCAGGCUGUGUCCUAAGGGAGCAAGCCUGCAGCUGGGUGAAGGUGCCCCAUGUCCCUCUGACCCAGGAGCAGGUGGCUGCUGGGACAGCUGGGAUGUGGGUUUGUCAUGCCCAUCACUGGGGACUCAGUCUUGUGCAUGCCAAGUUGAAGAGGCUGAAGAAGCUGCAAGCGUGGAGCCACUUCCAGGGGAGGACCCACCAGCUCUUGGACUCAAGUGCCCAUACCCAGUAUCUCUCCAAAGCCCACAGUGCCAGGGCAUGUGCUGAGCUGGUGUGGGAGCAGGGGCACACAGGGAGCUCCUGCCACGGUACUGCACACACCAACAUCCACAGCAGCAUCACCUCUACAACUGUGGGGGCCAGGGAUAGUAGGGGCCCACCCUGGGACACUGCACAUGGCUGGACAGUGAAACACCACCCUGGCGGACAGACUCAUCCCAGAGCUGCAGUCCUGCGUCUCUCCAUCACACCACUCCAGCACUUUGGCUUCAGGUCUGCACUGCCAGCUGUGGCCGGGCUCCAGGCACCUCCACUGGAUACACCCAGCACUGCAGAUGCUACUGGGCAGGAAAAUGACGGUGGCUUUGUUUGGCCCGUGGGGUUUGUGUGUGUCACUAUUGAAGACGCUGGUUUGUACUAGGCUGGCGAGGGUGGCGCUGGGCAUCCUUCCGCUGGCAGAGGCUGUAUUGUUUUAGGAGAUGUUUGGUAUUGUCUAUGUUGUCUUCCAUGUGAACAUGACAUUUAUUCAUUCAGAGGCUUGGCCUCUUCUUUCCUGGUGGGGAGAAGGGAGAAGCUGGUGCUUGGGAGCUGCUGAGUGUAUGAGGAGGUGGCACAGGAUGGAAGGAGUUGGUUGUGCCCUGGGGGAUGAUUUCCUACUGCUGGAGCAGCCCUGGCCAGUGCUUCUGGCAAACGCAUUGCCCCCAUGGUGCAGGGACAAGCUGGGGUUAUCCAUGCAAUGCCUUGCAAAAGCAGCCAUCACUGCUGGGGUCUUGCAUGUGGGAAGCUGAAGGGCCAGUGCCUGCUGUGGGGAUGGAAUGGCUCCAGGGAAACCUGGCACUUGUAGAUCUCUGGGGAAGGACAGAGGGGGCCUGAGCAGCAGUCCCCAGGACCACCGAGAGGUUGCACUGUUGGUACCACAAACACAAGUCUGCUGCUGCUCAGGCAUUGGUGUGGGAGCACUGAAACCCCACACAGGCAUUUACAUCCCCCCUCCAUAGGGACGGGGUGACACUUGGAGGGUGCCAGCCUGUUGUGCCCUACCUCAUGCACUCAGUCACCUUCAGUCUUCCCCACUUAUCACACCAAACAAGCAUUGAUACCAAAGAAACGUUUAAUAAGCUGCAAUAAAAUACGGACCUUUAGAAAGCUCA